CUUCGGUGAUGAUCUGAUGACGAGUCAGAAAUGGCCACCCCCUGCUCAGAGUAAACAGCAUAGUGUCACGUUCUGUGGUGCUGUGUGUGGGUGCUUGGGCAAAGGUGUCCUGUUCAUUGGAUGAUCUUGAGGCAUUUGUCUGAGAAGG